AUUGAACGCUGGCGGCAUGCCUUACACAUGCAAGUCGAACGGUAACGGGCCUUCGGGUGCCGACGAGUGGCGAACGGGUGAGUAAUGCAUCGGAACGUACCUUUCAGUGGGGGAUAACGUAGCGAAAGUUACGCUAAUACCGCAUAUUCUGUGAGCAGGAAAGCAGGGGAUCGCAAGACCUUGCGCUGAUUGAGCGGCCGAUGUCAGAUUAGCUAGUUGGUGAGGUAAAGGCUCACCAAGGCGACGAUCUGUAGCGGGUCUGAGAGGAUGAUCCGCCACACUGGAACUGAGACACGGUCCAGACUCCUACGGGAGGCAGCAGUGGGGAAUUUUGGACAAUGGGGGCAACCCUGAUCCAGCCAUGCCGCGUGAGUGAAGAAGGCCUUGGUUGUAAGACGUCUGUCUGGUAGGGACGGAACGGAAGGUAGGACGGUAACCGUCCGGACGGGAAGGACCGACGGCCGUAACUACGUACGUCCACGCAGACCGCGGUAACGUCUCGUCUCU
rnacentral:rRNA from 1 species